UACAGAGGUCUCAAGCGUUGUUCGGAUUCAUUGGGCGUAAAGGGUGCGUAGGCGGCGGCGUAAGUCGGGUGUGAAAUCCCAGGGCUCAACCCUGGAACUGCACUCGAUACUGCGUCGCUGGAGGACUGGAGAGGAGACUGGAAUUCACGGUGUAGCAGUGAAAUGCGUAGAUAUCGUGAGGAAGGCCAGUGGCGAAGGCGAGUCUCUGGGCAGUUCCUGACGCUGAGGCACGAAGGCCAGGGGAGCAAACGGG
rnacentral:rRNA from 1 species